rnacentral:lncRNA from 1 species
AGUUGCAUAUAAGAGUUGUGGAGGUACAUACAACCCCAGCCUUCCACAACUGCUAUGAGGCAUCCUCCUAAGAAAAAUGUUGAGCCAUUUCCACUUUAUAAAGAAAUAUUUAUAUUCUACCACGUUAUAAUGGAAAAGAAAACCCACUGCAAUUUAAUAUAGUUUGGGAUGAAAGUUGCUUGCUGAUGGAACUACAUUAGCUUCCAUCUCACCAAAGAAAACAAGGAACCACACUAAAGAAAAGUACUGAAUCUUUAACUGUACCAUUCUCCUCAUUCAUUAAAUUUGUCUACUGUGCUCUACAUCUCUGAGUUUAGGGUUUUGUUUUCCUUUUUGUUUUGUUCUGUUUCAUAUCAAAAAAUAAAAGAAAGGAAGGAAGGAAAGAACCACUUAGUGGUUGUUAUUGCUUGUAACACAAGAUGAGUCAUAUGGAAUUACUUUUUUUUUUCCUCCCGGUUUGAAGGAAUGAUGCCUGGAAUAGCAGAAAAAUUAACCCACUCCCACCACUUAGAAUUCUGGGAGUACCAAAAGGUAAGAGAGGGAGUUAUAAAGUCAGAGAGGGAGAAACUAGAAGCGAGCUGGGCCAAUAAGACCUUAGGCGUCUUGAGAAAGUAGCCGCAAUUCCUCCACCCACACUCGGAGCGAAAAGCUCCCAUUUUAAAUAUCGCACGGUGACGUCAUCCUGGGACGUAGUCACCGCGGCGGCUCUCAAGUUCUACUUUGUUCCACAGGCUUCUCUGCUCACAGCGGCGUGCGUAAAACCCAAAGGAAAACCAAGCCCGGCCUUCCAGGUGUUUAUAACUCUGUACUUUUCCCUGUGUUGUAACGAAAGGCUAAUCGCAACCGUUUCUAGACACAAAUAUUUCUGACAGACGUUCCCAAGGUUGAGGAAGCGGGGGUGAGGAACCCCUGACCAGCCUCAGCGACGUUACAAAGCGGGCUCUCCGGACGCUGAGGAGACGGGAUUUCCCACGGGGCCGGGACUUGGACUUUUUAAGCCAUCAAAACCUGCUGCUAAGCACUCAGGCUUGGGUUUUAAGAGUGCUAGAAGAGCCACAAGUACUAUGGCUGAGCAGAAAAAUAUCCCAGAGAGAGGUUGUCAUAGGAACUGUGCCAGAAGAGCAGCGACUCAAUAGAAUGUACUAUCCAAAAGGAGAGGAAGGAGCUGAUCUUGAAGCGUCUCUUACCAUCCGUUUUAGGAAACAAAUCUUUCAUGAAUCUCCUCAUGGAAAUUGUCUGCAGUGA